rnacentral:rRNA from 1 species
CAAUAGCGUAUAUUAAAGUUGUUGCAGUUAAAAAGCUCGUAGUUGGAUUUCUGGUGGGAGCGAUCGGUCUGGCGCUUAGCGCGAGUACUUGCAUCGUCUCCGGCCAUCCUUGGGGAGAGUCUGUCUGGCAUUAGGUUGUCGGGCAGAGGAUCCUCAUCGUUUACUGUGCAAAAAUUAGAGUGUUCAAAGCAGGCUUAUGCCGUUGAAUAUAUUAGCAUGGAAUAAUAAGAUAGGACUUUGGUACUAUUUUGUUGGUUUGCGCACCAAAGUAAUGAUUAAUAGGGACAGUUGGGGGUAUUCGUAUUCCGUUGUCAGAGGUGAAAUUCUUGGAUUUACGGAAGACGAACUACUGCGAAAGCAUUUACCAAGGAUGUUUUCAUUAA